rnacentral:rRNA from 1 species
AAAAGCUCGUAGUUGAAUCUCUGUCACGUCCGGUCCGACUCGGGUUCCCUCGGGUCCUCCGGGUUCGGUCGGUGGGCAUAAGCGGCGUUUCGGUCGGGCGAGAUUGUCAGAGGUUUCGUCCGCCGUCUCCUCGCACGUUACUCUGUAUUAAAUGAUGGUGCUCAGAGCGAUUAUCACAGUGCUUAAUGACGGUGCAUGGAAUAACCGAACAGGACCUCGUUCCCGUUCGAUUGGUCUGGCAGUCGAGGUAAUGAUUAAGAGGAGCAGACGGGGGCAUUCGUAGUGCGUCGCUAGGGGUGAAAUCCGGUGACCGUCGCACGACGAACUACUGCGAAAGCAUUUGCCAAGAAUGUUUCCUUUAACCAAGAACGAAAGUCAGAGGAUCGAAGGCGAUCAGAUACCGCCCUAGUUCUGACCGUAAACCAUGUCGACCAGCGGUCACCUUGCUUGAGUAUUGCGUAGCAGGUGGAAGCUUGCUCGGGAAACCUGAGUGUUCGGGUUCCGGGGGAAGUAUGGUUGCAAAGCUGAAACUUAAAGGCAUUGACGGAGGGGCACCACCAGGGAAUGGAGCCUGCGGCUUAAUUUGACUCAACGCGGGGAAACUCACCCGGUCCGGACACGCAGUAGGAUUGACAGACACAAAGAGCUUUCUUGAUCUCGUGGGUGGUGGUGCAUGGCCGUUCUUAGUUCGUGAGGUGACUCGUCUGGUUGAUUCCGAUAACGGACGAGACUCUCGCCUACUUACAUAUCGCAGCCCCUUCUCCGCGGAGCGAGGGGUCGAUUCUUAGAGGGACAAGUGACGCUCAUCUAUAAGUCACGCGAGAGAGAGCCAAAACAGGUCUGUGAUGCCCUAAGAUGUCCGGGGCCGCACGCGCGCUACAAUGGAGGGGGCAAUGAAGAGAAAUCGGUUGGAUGCGCCCCGUCGUAAAAAGGCGGGGAUAGCCCGAGUCCCCUCCGCGCUCGGAACAGUGGGUUGCAAUUGUUCCGCUCGAACGCGGAAUCCCCCGUAAGCGCGAGUCUCAAGCUCGAGCUGAUUAAGUCACUGCCCUUUGUACACACCGCCCGUCACUACUACCGAUUGGAUGGUUCGGUGAGGUCGUCGGACACGUCCCCGAAUUUCGCUCUUUCGAGCGAGGUGGGGUGAUGUGRAAGUCGAUCGAACCGGGUCAUUUAGAGGAAGUACAAGUCGUAACAAGGUCUU